rnacentral:lncRNA from 1 species
CCUUUGCUGUGCAAAGCUUGUAAGUUUGAUUAAGUCCCAGUGGUUUAUUAUUUCUUCUCCUUUUUCUUCUUCUCCUUCUCCUUCUCCUCCUCCUCCUUCUUCUUUUUCCCCGCUUUUCAGUGCCGCACCCACAGCAUAUAGAAGUUCCCAGGCCAGGGGUCAAACCAGAGCUGAGCUGCAGCUGCCAGCCUACACCAGAGCCACAGCAACUCAGGAUACAAGCCAUAUCUGUGACCUACACCACAACUCAAGGCAAUGCCAGAUCUUUAACCCACUGAGCAAGGUCAGGGAUUGAACCCGCAUCCUCAUGAAACUGCUGAGCCAUGAAGGGAAGCCCCUUAUUUCUGUUUUUAUUUCUAUUGCCUUGGGAAACUGACCUAAGGAAACACUUCUAAGAAAAUGGUUCAUGUCAGAGAAUGUUUGCCUAUGUUCUCUUCUAGGAGUUUUAUGGUAUCUUGUCUUAUGCUUAAGUAUUUAAGCCAUUUUGAGUUUAUUUUUGUGAUGCAAUUUCUUGACCAAUAGGUUAUGGCAGAAGUGACAUCAGGCUGAUUCUGGGCCCAGGCCUUAAGGGACAGUGGUUUCCAUUUCCUGACCCUCAGAACACUCUCUCUGAAAGCCUGUAAGCCCAACUACCCUGAGAUGGCUUUGGUAAAGCAGCCAGAUGGCUGUCCCAGUAAAGUUCAGCCUGUGAGUGAUGAGGACUCCAGAGCACCAGCUGGGCACCACUUACAACAGAGAAUCACCUGGGUGGGCUCUCUCAGAAUUCUCUGACUCACAAAAUCAUAGGAUUUUUUUUUUUUUAAGGUUCUUUUGAGCCUUUAAGUUUUAGAAUAAUUUGUCAAACCAUAGGAAAUAACAGAACACAGUCCUGGGGGAGGCUCCACAUAUAUUAUUCAGCACUCAACUCAUGUACUUAAUAGUUAUCAUUUACCUGGCUAGAGCAGGUGAGAAGAGCUGACUCACUCCAGCUGGUUAUGGCCCAAUCAUCUUGUGUGCUGCUGAGCGAUGUAGAUCAGAGAACCAGACUAACCUCAGGACACAGAGAUUUCAAAUGGAAUUCUUGGGGGCACUUGGCACCCAGGAGGGUGGAGUCAUCAUAGAUUUUUUCUUCUGAUAAUUUUGAGUUAACCACUGAGUAGAAAUAACAUUUCUAAUAGAAUGGGAUUAGAUGGAAAUUAGACAGAAGACCCACACUAUCCAUUGCGAUGACAGAGUGAGAACCAUAAGUGAGCACAAUGAUAGAAGGCAGAUGCCUUCCUUUUUUUAUGAUAGGACCAGCAAAAUAAGGUGGUAAAAAUCAGGCUGGGGAUGGGAUGAAGAAUAGAAAUUUGAGCAGAGAAGAGGAUCUAAUCAUUCUAUGAGUACUUGGAAUUUCUGGUUCGAGCAACUGGAAAACAUCUUAUUAGUAUUUAAAAUUGUUUCUGGGAGUUCCCUUUGUGGCUCAGCAGUUAACAAACCCAACUAGGAUCCAGGAGGAUUCGGGUUCAAUCCCUGGCCUUGCUCAUUGGGUUAAGGAUCUAGUGUUGCCAUGAGCUAUGGUGUAGGUUGCAGACACAGCUCAGGUCCUGAGUUGCCAUGGCUGUGGCAUAGGCUGGCAGCUGUAACUCUGAUUUGACCCCUCGCCUGGGAACUUCCAUAUGCCACAAAUGCAGCCCUAAAAAAAAAAGCUAAAAAUAAAAAUAAAAAAUAAAAUUGUUUCUGGAGUUCCCAUUGUGGUCCAAUGGGUUAAGAACCUAACUAGUAUCCAUGAGGAUGUGGGUUCAAUCCCUGGCUUCACUCAGUGGGUUGAGGAUCCGGCGUUGCCGUGAGCUGUGGUGUAGGUCGCAGAUGCAGCUCAGAUCCAGCUUUGCUUUGGCUGUGGUGUAGGCCAGCAGAUGAAGCUCCGAUUCAACCCCUAGCCUGGGAACUUCCAUAUGCUGCAGGUGUGGCCCUUAAAAAAAAAAAGCAAAAUAUAAAAAUAAAAAUUUUCUGAAAGCAACUGAAGGGAACAACUCAAGAACAAAAUAAUGACAAGAUAAUGGCUUAAUAAGAAAACCCUCAGGCAGGGUAUUAAGAAACCUCCACUGCAGUCCCAACACCUUGCCAAUGAUUUGACUUAUUCUUAACUCUGUUUUCUUGCUGUAAAAUGAUACCUUAAUGGAAAUGAUGUGGGUUGGAGUGCAGGAGAGGAGAUUAAGAAGUGGCUUAGAAAGAAAAAGAACUAACGUAUGAUUAAGAAAUACCUACCAACCUUGAGAACUUUGGAAUAGAAUCAACCAACCUCUUUUUUAAAAAUUAAGAUAAACCACUCUUUUGCUCUUAUUUAAAUACUGAUUGUUAAGUUUAUAUAUAAAAUCAAAUGUAGGGAGUUCUCAUUGUGGCUUAGUGGUAACGAACCUGACUAGUAUCCAUGAGGACAUGCAUUCCAUCCCUGGCCUCAGUGGGUUAAGAGUCUGGUGUUGCUGUGAGCUGUAGUGCAGCUUGGAUCUGGUGUUGCUAUGGCUGUGGCCUGGGCCAGCAGUUACAGUUCCAAUUCAACCCCUAGCCUGGGAAUUUCCAUAUGCUUGGGUGUGGCCCUAAAAAACAAGAAUUAAAAUUAAAAAUUAAAAAAAAUUAACCAUGGUCAGAUAAUGAAAGGCAUUAACUGAACCAGCUAGACAUAUAAGUAGCAAUGUUGUCUAAGAAGAAUUCAACAUCGAGACUGUUUCUGUGGCAUCUCAGGGUAAGUGUGAUCCCCUCACAACGCAUAGGCCAUGGGAUGGAGCCGCUCUAGGUUUUAGGGACACAGAGGAGCCCUAGGAAGCGGAUGCAGUGGGCACUGGCGGAGAGCAGCUCUCCUGGGCUGAUUGUCAGCUGCUGUCACUGGGUGAAUAUUCUUAAGCACAUCCCCAAAAGGAGAAGCCAUUGAUUUUGCCUCAUAGGCAGCACUAGUUGGAGACAGCAGGGUCUCAGACUGUGCUCUGCAGCCUCCCCGGGUGCUUACUAAACAUGGCCAAGACUGAGAGCCGCCCAGAUCAAUGGAUCAAAAGCUCUGAGCCAGGGACCUGGGAAUCUGCAUUUAACAGGCACCCCGAGCUUUUCCCGUGCCUCCCACAGUGAAGGGCCCGCUGCCCUGCACUCCCUCGCACAUAACUGUCCCCAAAUAUGCCACACUCACCCCAGCCUAGGUUCCUUUGUUUGCUGUUUCUCCCUCUGGGAUCUCCCCC